GACGUAGGGCGCGAGCGUUGUCCGGAUUUAUUGGGCGUAAAGAGCUCGUAGGCGGCUUGUCGCGUCGACUGUGAAAACCCGCGGCUCAACUGCGGGCCUGCAGCCGAUACGGGCAGGCUAGAGUUCGGUAGGGGAGACUGGAAUUCCUGGUGUAGCGGUGAAAUGCGCAGAUAUCAGGAAGAACACCUAUGGCGAAGGCAGCUCUCUGGGACGGUACUGACGCUGAGACGCGAAAGCGUGGGGAGCAAACAGG
rnacentral:rRNA from 1 species